UUAAUUGCUUUUUCCCUGACAGUCCUUGCCACCCAUCAAAUCGAGGCCUCUACAGUGAAUUAGACACGGAAACAACAGAAAGUGUUUUCAGAAGGAAAGCUAGAACUCACUUCAUCUAGAUAUACACAUGUAUGUAGUUCUUUGAUAGCUUUCUUUGAUAACAUUAUGAUAACUUUCUUUGAUAGUACUUUGACAGACUAACAAUAAGUAAUUGAACUACUACUCAUUAGUGGUAUACUGUGGUCUAUACCGAUACUAUGGUCGAACAGUCUUUAAUCCAUAAAAAUGGUUCACUAUGACACAAAAGCUUAUAAUUUUCUCGUGAAUUUUUGUACCCAGUCUUGUAUUUAUAAUUUCGUUAUCGACUUCAACGUGUCGAUUCCUAGUAACUAUUUCAUUUAGUUGGUUUGUACUAAAUAAUUUUUAGCCCAGUUUGCUUGCUAUAUCUUCAGAUUGUCAGAGCUUUAGUGUGUGACAGAGCUACUUAUCUUUGAAUAAGUUCUACACCUAAUUUAAUUUCUAUACUUUCAUUUAGCGAUCACUUAUCUAUCAAAUGGUUCAUUUUAUUCGAUGAUUCACUUUGAUACGAAUUUUAUGAGGCACAGUGAUCUGGUAACCAGUUCAGUUCUCUGAUAGAUAAUUCUCUUUGAUAGGUUGGCUUUGUACCAAUCAGAUCGUAUCAGAGAACCGUCUAGUAAUUAUCUAUCUGAUACAGCUCUAUUGUAGAACAUCAACGAUCUGGUUAUAUGAUUAUAUAAUUAGAAAAUUGAUACGUCUCAAAGAUAGACUCGACGUUAAGUCACUUUUAACAAUCUAUGAUCUGUGAACGUUUAGAUUCUUUUGUACUUUACACGGAGGCACGUUGUAUUCUGCAAUUAACACUCUUAUAUAACAUUCUAAUAUUCUAAACAAUGAGAAUAUCCAAUAUCAAAACUGAAUCAGAAUGAAACCACUGAAGAACCAUGCGCAACAUACAUUCUACCCUGAUCUGGACCUUGAAAACGGAAGUUCUAGUUCGUAUUCAGUCUAUUACAUUUUCCGGCUACAGCGUUCCUUUUUCCUCAUAAAGAGUUUAUACAAGGAAGGAUGUCUCACAGGAAGAAACUCAUCUGAAUACACAUUCAUUAAAACUCUCUCAAUUUUUUGCUGUUAACUUUAGAAUCGACUAAAUAGAUGAACGACGUAGCAAGUGAACCAUA